rnacentral:rRNA from 1 species
GAUGCUAAUACCGGAUAACAANAGAUGAUGCCUAUCAACUGUUUAAAAGAUGGUUCUGCUAUCACUCUUGGAUGGACCUGCGGUGCAUUAGCUAGUUGGUAGGGUAACGGCCUACCAAGGCGAUGAUGCAUAGCCGAGUUGAGAGACUGAUCGGCCACAUUGGGACUGAGACACGGCCCAAACUCCUACGGGAGGCAGCAGGC